GACGAACGCUGGCGGCGUGCUUAAUACAUGCAAGUCGAACGGAAAGGCCCUGCUUUUGUGGGGUGCUCGAGUGGCGAACGGGUGAGUAACACGUGAGUAACCUGCCCUUGACUUUGGGAUAACUUCAGGAAACUGGGGCUAAUACCGGAUAGGAGCUCCUGCUGCAUGGUGGGGGUUGGAAAGUUUCGGCGGUUGGGGAUGGACUCGCGGCUUAUCAGCUUGUUGGUGGGGUAGUGGCUUACCAAGGCUUUGACGGGUAGCCGGCCUGAGAGGGUGACCGGCCACAUUGGGACUGAAAUACGGCCCAGACUCCUACGGGAGGCAGCAGUGGGGAAUAUUGCACAAUGGGCGGAAGCCUGAUGCAGCAACGCCGCGUGCGGGAUGACGGCCUUCGGGUUGUAAACCGCUUUCGCCUGUGACGAAGCGUGAGUGACGGUAAUGGGUAAAGAAGCACCGGCUAACUACGUG
rnacentral:rRNA from 1 species